UGACGAAGCGACGCCGCGUGGAUGAAGAAGGCCUUCGGGUUGUAAAAUCCUGUCAGGAGUUAAGAAAUGUAAGUUUGAUAAUACCAAAUUUACUUGACAAAGGCUCCAAAGGAAGCCACGGCUAACUCUGUGCCAGCAGCCGCGGUAAUACAGAGGUGGCGAGCGUUGUUCGGAAUUAUUGGGCGUAAAGAGCACGUAGGUGGAUUUGUAAGUCAGAUGUGAAAGCCUUCUGUUCAACGGAAGAAUUGCAUCUGAAACUACAAACCUUGAGUAUAGGAGGGGAGAGUGGAACUUCUGGUGGAGCGGUGAAAUGCGUAGAUAUCAGAAGGAACGCCGGCGGCGAAAGCGACUCUCUGGCCUAUUACUGACACUGAGUGUGCGAAAGCUAGGGGAGCAAACGGGAUUAGAUACCCCGGUAGUCCUAGCCGUAAACGAUGGGCACUAAGUAGAGG
rnacentral:rRNA from 1 species